rnacentral:rRNA from 1 species
AUUGAACGCUGGCGGCAGGCCUAACACAUGCAAGUCGAACGAGUGGCGGACGGGUGAGUAAUGUCUGGGAAACUGCCUGAUGGAGGGGGAUAACUACUGGAAACGGUAGCUAAUCCCGCCUACCAUCAGAUGUGCCCAGCUGGGCUUAGCUUGUUGGGGGGGUAACGGCUCACCAAGGCGACGAUCCCUAGCUGGUCUGAGAGGAUGACCGGCCACACUGGAACUGAGACACGGUCCGGACUCCUACGGAAGGCAGCAGUGGGGAAUAUUGCACAAUGGGCGCAAGCCUGAUGCAGCCAUGCCGCGGGUAUGAAGAAGGCCUUCGGGUUGUAAAGUACUUUCAGCGGGGAGGCGUUACCCGAAGAAGAAGCACCGGCUAACUCCGUGCCAGCCGCCGCGGUAAUUC